rnacentral:rRNA from 1 species
UACAGAGGUGGCAAGCGUUGUUCGGAAUUACUGGGCGUAAAGGGCGCGUAGGCGGCUUGGUCAGUCCCGUGUGAAAUCCCUCGGCUCAACUGAGGAACUGCACGGGAAACUGCCUGGCUUGAGUUCGGGAGAGGGAAGCGGAAUUCCGGGUGUAGCGGUGAAAUGCGUAGAUAUCAGGAAGAACACCCGUGGCGAAGGCGGCUCUCUGGGACGGUACUGACGCUGAGACGCGAAAGCGUGGGGAGCGAACAGG